CAUAAUGAAGUCACAGACCUGCAAUAUUACAUACAAUUCACAGGACCUAAAACAAAUUUUUUAGCAAAACUAAAAAGCAUGCCCUCCACGAUCGCUUUAGGUCUCCGAGAUGAUAUAAUAUAUAAUACAGUUAGAAAAAAAAAAUGAAUCC